GCGUUAAUCGGAAUUACUGGGCGUAAAGCGCGCGUAGGUGGUUUGUUAAGUUGGAUGUGAAAUCCCCGGGCUCAACCUGGGAACUGCAUUCAAAACUGACAAGCUAGAGUAUGGUAGAGGGUGGUGGAAUUUCCUGUGUAGCGGUGAAAUGCGUAGAUAUAGGAAGGAACACCAGUGGCGAAGGCGACCACCUGGACUGAUACUGACACUGAGGUGCGAAAGCGUGGGGAGCAAACAGG
rnacentral:rRNA from 1 species